rnacentral:rRNA from 1 species
AUGAACGCUGGCGGCGUGCCUAAUACAUGCAAGUCGAGCGCACAGAUGAGGAGCUUGCUCCUCUGACGUUAGCGGCGGACGGGUGAGUAACACGUGGAUAACCUACCUAUAAGACUGGGAUAACUUCGGGAAACCGGAGCUAAUACCGGAUAAUAUAUUGAACCGCAUGGUUCAAUAGUGAAAGACGGUUUUGCUGUCACAUAUAGAUGGAUCCGCGCCGCAUUAGCUAGUUGGUAAGGUAACGGCUUACCAAGGCAACGAUGCGUAGCCGACCUGAGAGGGUGAUCGGCCACACUGGAACUGAGACACGGUCCAGACUCCUACGGGAGGCAGCAGUAGGGAAUCUUCCGCAAUGGGCGAAAGCUUGACGGAGCAACGCCGCGUGAGUGAUGAAGGUCUUCGGAUCGUAAAACUCUGUUAUUAGGGAAGAACAAAUGUGUAAGUAACUAUGCACGUCUUGACGGUACCUAAUCAGAAAGCCACGGCUAACUACGUG